rnacentral:tRNA from 1 species
GGCGGUUGUAGCCAAGUGGUUAAGGCAAUGGGUUGUGGUUCCGUCAUUCGCGGGUUCGAUUCCCGUCUUCCGCCU